ACCUUCGUGGUGUAACUGCUAGCAUACUCGGCUCGUAUUCUAGAGGUCCAGGUUCAAGUUCCGGCGAGGGCA
rnacentral:tRNA from 1 species